UUCCUAACCAAGGAAAAGGGCGUGUGCCACAGUGCGGGCAGGUUCCUUUCUACUCAUGCCGAAUUGCGGCUGUCAACCUAGGGUCAACCCAGGGUUAAUGUAGAGUCAACGUACGUAGGUCAGGGUAGCACCUAUACCCGCUAUGUCAAGGUCAUGAGUCACAGAGGGGAAUGACUCACUUCAGUCAGCCGAAGCUUCUGUCGUCGGACUCGACCAUAAUUCUUCCUAGUUAUAGAGCUUCAACUCAACUAUGGUUCUUCGUUCUUCAAGGACACGUGUCUUCGCUGAUGAUGUGCGUCGCGUUUUCAUCGUCCCAUAAUUGUUCUUCGUUGUCAUCGAUCAUCGACAUGUUCUUCGUCGUAAUCGUCGCCUCUUCGUAGUCGCCGUGGUUUGUCGAUCUCUUCUGUUUUUCGAACUCCACUUUACCCGAUUAAGACUUUCGGUAACAUAAUUUAAAGGCCUAUUUUUAGAUCGAUCUCUUCCCAUAAACAAUCGAUGAUGAUUAUAUUCCUCUUAUGCAUAUAUGGCAUUUUAUGAUUUUUAUAUGCAAAGAUUUAUUGAAUAUCCAUUUGCCAAUAUACUUAUGUUCUCAACGAUUCAAUGUUAAUGGCUUAUUAUAUUUUAUGACAUUAAAUUGAUCACUUCAUUUA